AUGGGCGAAAGCCUGAUCCAGCCAUGCCGCGUGUGUGAAGAAGGUCUUCGGAUUGUAAAGCACUUUAAGUUGGGAGGAAGGGCAGUAAGUUAAUACCUUGCUGUUUUGACGUUACCGACAGAAUAAGCACCGGCUAACUUCGUGCCAGCAGCCGCGGUAAUAAUCGAA
rnacentral:rRNA from 1 species